AUUGAACGCUGGCGGCAGGCUUAACACAUGCAAGUCGAGCGGGGUGAUGGUGCUUGCACUAUCACUUAGCGGCGGACGGGUGAGUAAUGCUUAGGAAUCUGCCUAUUAGUGGGGGACAACAUCUCGAAAGGGAUGCUAAUACCGCAUACGUCCUACGGGAGAAAGCAGGGGAUCACUUGUGACCUUGCGCUAAUAGAUGAGCCUAAGUCGGAUUAGCUAGUUGGUGGGGUAAAGGCCUACCAAGGCGACGAUCUGUAGCGGGUCUGAGAGGAUGAUCCGCCACACUGGGACUGAGACACGGCCCAGAAUCCUACGGGGGGCAGCAGUGGGGAAUAUUGGACAAUGGGGGGAACCCUGAUCCAGCCAUGCCGCGUGUGUGAAGAAGGCCUUAUGGUUGUAAAGCACUUUAAGCGAGGAGGAGGCUCUUUUGGUUAAUACCCAAGAUGAGUGGACGUUACUCGCAGAAUAAGCACCGGCUAACUCUGUGCCAGCCGCCGCGGUAA
rnacentral:rRNA from 1 species